GACGAACGCUGGCGGCGUGCUUAACACAUGCAAGUCGAACGGUAAGGCCCUUCGGGGUACACGAGUGGCGAACGGGUGAGUAACACGUGGGUGAUCUGCCCUGCACUUCGGGAUAAGCCUGGGAAACUGGGUCUAAUACCGAAUAGGACUCCGGACUGCAUGGUCUGGGGUGGAGAGCUGUUGCGGUGUGGGAUGGGCCCGCGGCCUAUCAGCUUGUUGGUGGGGUGAUGGCCUACCAAGGCGACGACGGGUAGCCGGCCUGAGAGGGUGACCGGCCACACUGGGACUGAGAUACGGCCCAGACUCCUACGGGAGGCAGCAGUGGGGAAUAUUGCACAAUGGGCGCAAGCCUGAUGCAGCGACGCCGCGUGAGGGAUGACGGCCUUCGGGUUGUAAACCUCUUUCAGCAUCGACGAAGCGAAAGUGACGGUAGGUGCAGAAGAAGGACCGGCCAACUACGUGCCAGCCGCCGCAGUAA
rnacentral:rRNA from 1 species